rnacentral:sRNA from 1 species
AGGACGGGGCGGGACCAGACAGUUGCGCGCACAGAAGGCUGGCGUAGCAGACCCCCCACCCAACCUGCCCUACUUUGUACGACGCUCUCGGAUGCACAACAUCCCUGUCUACAAGGACAUCACGCAUGGCAACCGGCAGAUGACUGUGAUCCGGAAAGUGGAAGGGGACAUCUGGGCCCUGCAGAAAGAUGUGGAAGAUUUUCUGAGCCCGCUGCUGGGGAAGACACCCGUCACCCAGGUCAAUGAGGUGACAGGUACCCUACGGAUCAAGGGCUACUUUGACCAGGAGCUUAAAGCCUGGCUCUUGGAGAAAGGCUUCUGAGGCCCAGCUGAGCAGCCUGCAUGUCAGCAUGCCCUGUGGAUCAAGUCUAGGGGGCCUCAGGAGGAGGGAGGUGGGUGUUGGAGCCCCUGAGACGGGAUACAGAAACUAGGGCUAAAGGACUUUGGGGUCAGGCCUUGUUUGCAUAAAGGAGAAAACGACUCUAUGUACAUGCUGGGGGAGAGUGCCUAAUGUGGGAGACCAAAUAGGAAUAACCAGGCUAAUGGGGGGCAUCAGCAGCUUUCUCUCCCUCCUAUCUUGGCCUGUUCUUUUUUGUUUUUUGAGACGGAGUCUCACUCUCUUGCCCAGGGUGGAGUGCAGUGGCAUGAUCUUGGCUCACUGCAACUUCCACCUCUGGGAUCAAGUGAUUCUCCUGCCUCAGCCUCCUGAGUAGCUGGGAUUACAGGCGCCCACCACCACAGCCUGGUAAU